UACGGGGGGGGUAAGCGUUGUUCGGAAUUACUGGGCGUAAAGGGCGCGUAGGCGGCACUGUUAGUCAGGCGUGAAAGUCCUGGGCUCAACCUGGGAACUGCGCUUGAUACGGCAGAGCUAGAGGAUGGAAGAGGCUCGCGGAAUUCCCAGUGUAGAGGUGAAAUUCGUAGAUAUUGGGAAGAACACCGGUGGCGAAGGCGGCGAGCUGGUCCAUUACUGACGCUGAGGCGCGACAGCGUGGGGAGCAAACGGG
rnacentral:rRNA from 1 species